rnacentral:rRNA from 1 species
GAUGAACGCUAGCGACAGGCCUAACACAUGCAAGUCGAGGGGCAUCACGGGGGUAGUAAUACUUUUGGUGGCGACCGGCGCACGGGUGAGUAACGCGUAUGCAACCUGGCUACAACAGGGGGAUAGCCUCCCGAAAGGGAGAUUAAUACCGCAUAAUACAGGGGUACCGCAUGGUAUCUUUGUUAAAGAUUUAUUGGUUGUAGAUGGGCAUGCGUUCUAUUAGUUAGUUGGUGAGGUAACGGCUCACCAAGGCGACGAUAGAUAGGGGUUCUGAGAGGAAGGUCCCCCACACUGGUACUGAGACACGGACCAGACUCCUACGGGAGGCAGCAGUGAGGAAUAUUGGUCAAUGGGCGCGAGCCUGAACCAGCCAAGUCGCGUGCAGGACGACGGCGCUAUGCGUUGUAAACUGCUUUUAUACAGGGGUAAAAGGUUCCACGUGUGGGAUUUUGCAAGUAUUGUAUGAAUAAGGAUCGGCUAACUCCGUGCCAGCAGCCGCGGUAAUACGGAGGAUCCGAGCGUUAUCCGGAUUUAUUGGGUUUAAAGGGUGCGUAGGCGGUUUGCUAAGUCAGUGGUGAAAGUUUUCGGCUCAACCGGAAAAUUGCCAUUGAAACUGUCAGACUUGAGUACAAAUGAGGUAUGCGGAAUGUGUUGUGUAGCGGUGAAAUGCAUAGAUAUAACACAGAACACCGAUUGCGAAGGCAGCAUACUGGGAUGUAACUGACGCUGAAGCACGAAAGCGUGGGGAUCAAACAGGAUUAGAUACCCUGGUAGUCCACGCCGUAAACGAUGAUUACUAACUGUUUGCGAUAUAAAGUAAGUGGUACAGCGAAAGCGUUAAGUAAUCCACCUGGGGAGUACGUUCGCAAGAAUGAAACUCAAAGGAAUUGACGGGGGCCCGCACAAGCGGAGGAACAUGUGGUUUAAUUCGAUGAUACGCGAGGAACCUUACCCGGGCUUGAAAUGCGCAGGAAUAAUUUGGAAACAGAUUAGUCAGCAAUGACCUGCGUGUAGGUGCUGCAUGGUUGUCGUCAGCUCGUGCCGUGAGGUGUCGGCUUAAGUGCCAUAACGAGCGCAACCCCUAUCAUUAGUUACUAACAGGUAGUGCUGAGGACUCUAGUGAGACUGCCACCGUAAGGUGUGAGGAAGGUGGGGAUGAUGUCAAAUCAGCACGGCCCUUACGUCCGGGGCGACACACGUGUUACAAUGGGGGGUACAGAGGGUUGCUACUUAGUGAUAAGAUGCUAAUCUCUUAAAGCCUCUCUCAGUUCGGAUCGGAGUCUGCAACUCGACUUCGUGAAGCUGGAUUCGCUAGUAAUCGCGCAUCAGCCAUGGCGCGGUGAAUACGUUCCCGGGCCUU